GGGCCGUGGUAUACUGACCAUGCGAAGGUAGCAUAAUCAUUAGCCUUUUGAUUUGAGGCUGGAAUGAAUGGUUUGACGAGAGAUGGUCUGUCUCUUCGAUUAAAUUGAAGUUAAUCUUUAAGUGAAAAAGCUUAAAUGUACUUGGAGGGCGAUAAGACCCUAUAGAUCUUUACAUUUAAUUCUUUUGUCUUGCGGUAAGUAAUUAGACAGAAUAAAAUAAUGUUUGGUUGGGGCGACGGUGAGAACAGAAUAAACACUCACAACAUAAAUACAUCAAUAAAUGACCAUUGAUCCUUAGAUGAAUAAAGACCAAGUUACCUUAGGGAUAACCAGCGUAAUUCUUUUUGAGAGUUCAAAUCGACAAAAGAGUUUGCGACCUCGAUGUUGGUUCAGGGACCC
rnacentral:rRNA from 1 species